AUGAAAGUGAAAUUGAGAGAACUGAAAGUUAUGGGACAAGAAGAGUGUCUGUAGAGGGUGGCUCUGUAUCUGAAGCAACUCCACUAUGAAUUGUAGGAUUUACACGGCAGUUUGUUGCUUCCUAUGCACUGGAAUCCUAAAUCACCAUAAUGGAGUUGCAACAGCAGGUUCAACCUUUAGUCAAAGUAGUAGGCAGCUUUCCUGCUUGUUUGAGACAACUGAAACAAUCCCAUCGUUAAGUGAUUUCAAGUACAUCAGACAGAAUGCCUGGCUCCUGCUGAGUGGAACUGAAUCGAAGGACACCAAGAGACCUCACUCAGAAAAUCCUCCUGCUGCUAAUACCCUCACGUUUAUCGUACAAGAGUCCUCACUGGAUAUUCUCCAACACGUGGAUGAGGAUACUGACAAGCUUGAAUGUAAGAUUAGCAGAUAUUUUACAGAUAACACCCAGAUCCUCUGGCCUGGGUUACAAACUCAACUUCAUAAACUAGAUUCAUGGUUCACUGGCACCAUAAAGCACCUGGAUGACAAAUUCACCAUUACAGUCUUUUUGGUACAAUCAAGUGCCAGCAAAGAAGCGGAGAACCGAAUUCCCGAAGAUGUUUCUCAAGGCAACACAGAGACGUUUUAUCUUUCAGAUGUAUUCUUGGUACGCACAGGACCCUCUGUAAUCCAAUCUGGCUUCAAUAAGGAUGUCCUCCUCAGCUGUGCUUUCUCAGUCGAUCACAACACAGAUGUCACCAUCAAAUGGAUAUUACAGCAGAAAGGGGGACACAAAAAGCUGAUAUUUGCCUACAAUGGAUCUACCAGGCAGGUGGAACACAAGGAUAAACGGGCUGAGAUGUUCCUAGCAGAGAUCCCGAAGGGGAAUGCUUCUCUCUUACUAAAAACAGUGGGAGUAAGAGAUGCAGGAACCUAUUCUUGCCAAAUAUUGGUGUCCUCAGUGCUUUGGGCACAGAAUAUCCAGCUGGAAAUAGUAGAAAAGCCCACGGUGACCCUGAACGCUGCUGUCCUGUCUCUGGUGGAAGGAGACGAACACAAGCUGGUCUGUGACAUCAGUCACUUUUACCCUCAUGAUGCCGAGGCUCAGUGGUUUCAGGAACCAAUGCAGCAGGGGAUGCUCCCACAUUUGGUGACUCACGUUGUCUCUAGUAGUCACAGGCAGAACAGCGAUGGGACUUACAGCUUCUCCAGUUACUUCCUGCUUAAGGCCUCCCUCAGGGACGAUGGGCGUCGGUACACCUGCCGAGUGGAACACCAAAGCCUAAAGCACCCAAUCAAGAAAAGCCUGACGGUGAAAGUGACAGGUUGUUCUUAUAAAAUGGUUCUUUUAUUUAUUUAUGGACAGAAUCUACCUCAGCAACUUGGUUCCUUGUCAUCCUAUUCGUCGUCCUUGCUGGGUGUCUUGUUGUGAUGUUGUAUUUUCUUUACCAAGGGAUGAGCACCAAUAAGCCAAAACCUUACUAGAGCAUGAGACCAUUCAAUCCAGUCAGGAACUGCUGCUCCCUAGCUGAGGAAUGAAUCACAACACAGAGAGUGGAAAGAAAGAACGUGUGCUGGAUCUGCACCAGGAGCUCUAGAUGGUGUUUCUCCGAACAUACACUUUGGAGCCAUUUAUACUUGUACAAGCUACUGCGGUGGGAGUGGAGAAUUCUGAUUUGCACAAGUUGUAAAGGAAUGAAAAGUUGAGCCUGGUCUGGAUAUUUUUGUACUGCUAUGAAUGUUGCUUAGUGGUAUGAAUUCUUAUUUUUUUUUUUAAACUGAUGCAGCCGGUAGGUAGUUAUGCCAGUACAUCCCCGUAUGUGGACACCUAUUCCCCUUACUACAUGGAAAUAAGAUGCACUAAAAUAACUUCCUCCGGGCUAGCGGGGAUUGUAUGCUGGUAUAGUUAAUGGAAUACAACUUGUAUGCGGACAAGGCCGUAGAUAAGAUCCUUUAAAAUAAUGGGCCAGAUUUCUUGUUGCCCGGUCCCUUGUAUAAUCAUUUACACAAGUGCAGAGUGGGUGUGACACAUUCCCAGUCGGAUUUACUAGCAUUUUGCACUGAUUUGGGCCAAGUUUACACAAUGGGAGUGAUAGUAGCAUAGCAACCUGUAGGAUAUGAAAAGUUUGUUUUUUUUUUUCUUCCCCCGUCGCCGGAAGACCCACCUCCCUUAGCGAUGGUAACGAGGCUGAUGGAAGUAUUCUUCUGCCGACCUAGCUAUGGCGCUCAGGGGGUGUAGAUCUAUGUAGACCAGGCCUUUGGGGUAAAAAACUACACAAGGUGCAGGGCGGUGGAGAAUCUGGCUUUAUGCCCUCCAAGGGAUUUCACCAGGAUUUCUCAGUCAUCAAUCAGAUGUCUUGUAUUUGCAUGUUAGGAUUAUGAUGGCUGGGGCUUUUUGGGGGUGUGUGUUUCGUUUUUUUAAAGCCACAUGGGUGCUCAGGUACACUUAUCCUAGUAAAUGACAGCAAGAGUCCUACUCUAUUCCCUCUGUCUUGCUUCCACACUUGCUGGUUUGAGCACCUUCUCUGCAGUACUUACCAUCUAAAACAACCUUCCUGAAUCUGUCUGCUUUAUCCUUCCACAUAUCUUCAAACGUGUCUUUGCCCUGCUUAGUCCUAUUCAUUUGUCUCUUGUAGAUAUAGAAAUGCUUUAUUUAACAUGCAGACAAUACCUUCCGAACAGUGUUACUCUAACUUGUGCCGUCUAUUGCCCGCUCACUGGUUAGUAUCAUUCACAUCUGCCUUAGGGACUCAGUUUGCGUGAAAAAACUUAUGCAAAAUGGGGGUGCAUCAGGCUAUACAUGCCAUUGCUGAGGCGUGGUUUUUACACCGGUUCUUCUUUUUGAGGAGUUAAUUUACUGUGUGCCCCAUUUUGGGCACUGGCUAUCUUCUUUAAUAUUUAUGUGCCUAGCCAAGAAUUAAGUUGUGCCCCUGAAAACAACCCAGAAAUUGAAGCUGCUGCCAGAUUGCGGCAGCCUGUUUGGUAAGUAGAGAAUAUUCUACCAGUGCCCUGCCAUCUCUGUGGGCUGCUUGUUGGGUUUCUGGGUGAUAUUUAAGGUAUUGAUUUUUGACCUAUAAAGCCCUAAAUGGCUUAAGGACCUACCUACGUGAGACUCUGUCCUUGAGCCAUGCAGCUGCAGUUGAGAUCAGCAGAUGUGCUGGAGUCCUAUGAGGCUACUGGCUGAGCAAUUCUCUGUGAGGACCCCACGGCUUUAGAAAUAACUCCCAUCUGCAAUAGACUGUCUGAUCAACUUCAGGGCACGUUGCAAAUCUUACCUUUUAUUCCCCAGGUAUUUGAAAAUGGUGGUUGCAUCCAGGCAGGUUAGUUAUAAGGGUGGGAAAUGGUUGGAAAGAAAAGGUAUUUGAAUUUUAAAGUUUCCACAGCCCCUGGCGGUCAUUUACGUUGGCUUGUUUGGCUCUACUUGGAAUAUCUUGAAGUCAUGUUGUGGCCCCUUUUUAGUAUUUGUGCAAAUCUAAAUCAAUCAAACUGCUUGCUGGCUUUCUUAGUUUUGUGAAAUGCAAAGAGGUCAUUAAACAGCAAUAAAAACACAUAACGAAAAAUUCAAAUACA